GGGAGCUUGCUCCCUGAUCUUAGCGGCGGACGGGUGAGUAACACGUGGGCAACCUGCCCUGCAGACUGGGAUAACUCCGGGAAACCGGAGCUAAUACCGGGUAAUACAUCGCACCGCAUGGUGCAAUGUUGAAAGUUGGCCUUUGGCUAACACUGCAGGAUGGGCCCGCGGCGCAUUAGCUAGUUGGUAAGGUAACGGCUUACCAAGGCGACGAUGCGUAGCCGACCUGAGAGGGUGAUCGGCCACACUGGGACUGAGACACGGCCCAGACUCCUACGGGAGGCAGCAGUAGGGAAUCUUCCGCAAUGGACGAAAGUCUGACGGAGCAACGCCGCGUGAGUGACGAAGGCCUUCGGGUCGUAAAGCUCUGUUGUUAGGGAAGAACAAGUACCGUUCGAAUAGGGCGGUACCUUGACGGUACCUAACCAGAAAGCCACGGCUAACUACGUGCCAGCAGCCGCGGUAAUACGUAGGUGGCAAGCGUUGUCCGGAAUUAUUGGGCGUAAAGCGCGCGCAGGCGGUCUUUUAAGUCUGAUGUGAAAGCCCACGGCUCAACCGUGGAGGGUCAUUGGAAACUGGAGGACUUGAGUGCAGAAGAGGAGAGUGGAAUUCCACGUGUAGCGGUGAAAUGCGUAGAUAUGUGGAGGAACACCAGUGGCGAAGGCGGCUCUCUGGUCUGUAACUGACGCUGAGGCGCGAAA
rnacentral:rRNA from 2 species